rnacentral:rRNA from 1 species
GCCCUUAGAGUUUGAUCCUGGCUCAGGACAAACGCUGGCGGCGUGCCUAAAACAUGCAAGUCGUACGGUCCUUCGGGACAGUGGCGAACGGCUGAGUAACACGUGGGCAACCUACCCUCGAGUGGGGGAUAACCCUCCGAAAGGAGGGCUAAUACCGCGUACGUUCACCGGACCUCGGUUCGGUGAGGAAAGCAGUAAUGCGCUCGAGGAUGGGCCUGCGUCCGAUUAGCUAGUUGGUGAGGUAACGGCCCACCAAGGCUUCGAUCGGUAGCUGGUCUGAGAGGAUGAUCAGCCAGACUGGGACUGUGACACGGCCCAGACUCCUACGGGAGGCAGCAGUUAGGAAUUUUGGGCAAUGGGCGCAAGCCUGACCCAGCAACGCCGCGUGGGUGACGAAGGCCUUCGGGUCGUAAAGCCCUUUUCCACGGGAAGAUAAUGACGGUACCGUGGAAUAAGCCCCGGC